rnacentral:rRNA from 1 species
GACGAACGCUGGCGGCGUGCUUAACACAUGCAAGUCGAGCGGUAAGGCCCUUUCGGGGGUACACGAGCGGCGAACGGGUGAGUAACACGUGGGUGACCUGCCCUCAGCUCUGGGAUAAGCCUGGGAAACCGGGUCUAAUACCGGAUAUGACUCCAUGACGCAUGUUGUGGGGUGGAAAGCCUUGUGCGGCUGAGGAUGGGCCCGCGGCCUAUCAGCUUGUUGGUGGGGUGANGGCCUACCAAGGCGACGACGGGUAGCCGGCCUGAGAGGGCGACCGUCCACACUGGGACUGAGACACGGCCCAGACUCCUACGGGAGGCAGCAGUGGGGAAUCUUGCGCAAUGGGCGAAAGCCUGACGCAGCGACGCCGCGUGAGGGAUGACGGCCU